AUUGAACGCUGGCGGCAGGCUUAACACAUGCAAGUCGAGCGAGCGGCGGACGGGUGAGUUAGGUCUGGGAAACUGCCAGAUGGCGGGGGAUAACAAAUGGAAACGGUAGCAAAUAACGGAUACGAUCAGAUGCGCCGAGAAGGGAUUAGCUAGGAGGUGGGGUAAUGGUUCACCUAGGCGACGAGCCCUAGCUGGUCUGAGAGGAUGACCAGCACCACGGGAACUGCGACCCGGUCCGGACUCCUCCGGGAGUCAACAGUGUGGAGUAUUGCACAAUGGGCACAAGCCUGAUGCAGCCAUGCCGCGUGUGUAAAGAAGGCCUUCGGGUUGUAAAGCUCUUUCAGCGAAGAGGCGUUACUCGCAGAAGAAGCACCGGCUAACUCCGUGCCAGCAGCCGCGGUAAUUC
rnacentral:rRNA from 1 species